GACGACCACGAGCAUCCGGACAAAACAGAUGAGAGCGGAGCGGACGCCACGCGUCUGGCGAAGUCUCCAUCACGCCAAUCGCCGGACAGCGAGAAAGGAGCGCUCGCACCUUUGGACAAUUUGGAGUCUUCGAUGAAAAGAACGUGAAAGCAGGAGGAAGCAGGCGCAUCACCUGUUUGACACCUGUUUCGUGCACAAAUGGCAAGAAAAACUGGUCCCGAGACGGGAAAAACCCGAAGCGCAGGGGAAACCGCAGUGAUCCAGCACCGAGACCCGACGCGGAUAGCAACAUUUUCCAAGGCUGGAGGCCCCGCGUGAAAAUGCUCAUAUACGUUG